rnacentral:rRNA from 1 species
GACGAACGCUGGCGGCGUGCUUAACACAUGCAAGUCGAACGGAAAGGCCCUGCUUUUGUGGUGUGCUCGAGUGGCGAACGGGUGAGUAACACGUGAGUAACCUGCCCCUGACUUUGGGAUAACUUCAGGAAACUGGGGCUAAUACCGGAUAGGAGCUCCUGCUGCAUGGUGGGGGUUGGAGAGUUUCGGCGGUUGGGGCUGGACUCGCGGCUUACCGGCUUGUUGGUGGGGUAGGGGCUUACCAAGGCUUUGACGGGUAGGCGGCCUGAGAGGGUGACCGGCCACAUUGGGACUGAGAUACGGCCCAGACUCCUACGGGAGGCAGCAGUGGGGAAUAUUGCACAAUGGGCGGAAGCCUGAUGCAGCAACGCCGCGUGCGGGAUGACGGCCUUCGGGUUGUAAACCGCUUUCGCCUGUGACGAAGCGUGAGUGACGGUAAUGGGUAAAGAAGCACCGGCUAACUACGUG